rnacentral:rRNA from 1 species
UACGUAGGGUGCGAGCGUUAAUCGGAAUACUGGGCGUAAAGCGUGCGCAGACGGUUGCGUAAGUCAGAUGUGAAAGCCCCGGGCUCAACCUGGGAAUUGCAUUUGAGACUGCGUAGCUAGGGUGCGGAAGAGGGAAGCGGAAUUUCCGGUGUAGCGGUGAAAUGCGUAGAUAUCGGAAGGAACAUCAGUGGCGAAAGCGACUUCCUGGACCAAUACUGACGCUCAUGUGCGAAAGCGUGGGAGCAACAGGGAUUAAG